AUUGAACGCUGGCGGCAUGCUUUACACAUGCAAGUCGAACGGUAACAGGCCUUCGGGCGCUGACGAGUGGCGAACGGGUGAGUAAUGCAUCGGAACGUGCCCAGUCGUGGGGGAUAACUAUCCGAAAGGAUAGCUAAUACCGCAUACGAUCUGCGGAUGAAAGCGGGGGACCUUCGGGCCUCGCGCGGUUGGAGCGGCCGAUGUCAGAUUAGGUAGUUGGUGGGGUAAAGGCUCACCAAGCCAACGAUCUGUAGCUGGUCUGAGAGGACGACCAGCCACACUGGGACUGAGAAACGGCCCAGACUCCGACGGGAGGCAGCAGUGGGGAAUUUUGGACAAUGGGCGCAAGCCUGAUCCAGCAAGGCCGCGUGCAGGAAGAAGGCCUUCGGGUUGUAAACUGCUUUUGUACGGAACGAAACGGCUCUGGUUAAUACCCGGGGCUAAUGACGGUACCGUAAGAAUAAGCACCGGCUAACUACGUGCCAGCAGCCGCAGUAAAAC
rnacentral:rRNA from 1 species